rnacentral:rRNA from 1 species
AUUGAACGCUGGCGGCAGGCCUAACACAUGCAAGUCGAGCGAGCGGCGGACGGGUGAGUAAUGUCUGGGAAUCUGCCUGGUGGAGGGGGAUAACUACUGGAAACGGUAGCUAAUACCGCAUACCAUCAGAUGUGCCCAUAUGGGAUUAGCUUGUAGUUGAGGUAACGGCUCGCCUAGGCGACGAUCCCUAGCUGGUCUGAGAGGAUGACCAGCCACACUGGAACUGAGACACGGUCCAGACUCCUACGGGAGGCAGCAGUGGGGAAUAUUGCACAAUGGGCGAAAGCCUGAUGCAGCCAUGCCGCGUGUAUGAAGAAGGCUUUCGGGUUGUAAAGCACUUUCAGUGGGGAGGCGUUACCGGCAGAAGAAGCACCGGCUAACUCCGUGCCAGCAGCCGCGGUAAUAC